rnacentral:rRNA from 1 species
UACGGAGGGUGCAAGCGUUAUCCGGAUUCACUGGGUUUAAAGGGUGCGUAGGUGGGUUGGUAAGUCAGUGGUGAAAUCCCCGAGCUUAACUUGGGAACUGCCAUUGAUACUAUUGAUCUUGAAUACCGUGGAGGUCAGCGGAAUAUGUCAUGUAGCGGUGAAAUGCUUAGAUAUGACAUAGAACACCAAUUGCGAAGGCAGCUGGCUACGCGAAUAUUGACACUGAUGCACGAAAGCGUGGGGAGCAAACAGG